ACUCCUACGGGAGGCAGCAGUGGGGAAUAUUGCACAAUGGGCGCAAGCCUGAUGCAGCCAUGCCGCGUGUAUGAAGAAGGCCUUCGGGUUGUAAAGUACUUUCAGCAGUGAGGAAGGUGGAUAUGUUAAUAGCAUAUUCAUUUGACGUUAGCUGCAGAAGAAGCACCGGCUAACUCCGUGCCAGCAGCCGCGGUAAUACGGAGGGUGCGAGCGUUAAUCGGAAUUACUGGGCUAAAGCGCAUGCAGGUGGUUUGUUAAGUCAGAUGUGAAAGCCCGGGGCUCAACCUCGGAAUUGCAUUUGAAACUGGCAAACUAGAGUACUGUANAGGGGGGUAGAAUUUCAGGUGUAGCGGUGAAAUGCGUAGAGAUCUGAAGGAAUACCGGUGGCGAAGGCGGCCCCCUGGACAGAUACUGACACUCAGAUGCGAAAGGCUGGGGGAGCAAACAGGAUUAGAUACCCUGGUAGGCUCU
rnacentral:rRNA from 1 species